rnacentral:rRNA from 1 species
ACGUGGGUAAUCUACCUUCCGGCGGGGGACAACAGUCCGAAAGGAUUGCUAAUACCGCAUACGUCAACGAGGUCUACGGGCCUUGUUGGGAAAGAUGGCCUCUCCUUGGAAGCUGUCACCGGAAGAUGAGCCCGCGUCCCAUCAGCUAGUUGGCGAGGUAAUGGCUCACCAAGGCAUAGACGGGUAGCUGGUCUGAGAGGAUGAUCAGCCACACUGGGACUGCGACACGGCCCAGACUCCUACGGGAGGCAGCAGUGGGGAAUAUUGGGCAAUGGGCGAAAGCCUGACCCAGCCACGCCG